GAACGCUAGCGACAGGCUUAACACAUGCAAGUCGAGGGGCAGCGGGGGUAGCAAUACCCGCCGGCGACCGGCGCACGGGUGAGUAACGCGUAUGCAACUUACCUAUCAGAGGGGGAUAACCCGGCGAAAAUCGGACUAAUACCGCAUGAAGCAGGGAUCCCGCAUGGGAAUAUUUGCUAAAGAUUCAUCGCUGAUAGAUAGGCAUGCGUUCCAUUAGGCAGUUGGCGGGGUAACGGCCCACCAAACCGACGAUGGAUAGGGGUUCUGAGAGGAAGGUCCCCCACAUUGGUACUGAGACACGGACCAAACUCCUACGGGAGGCAGCAGUGAGGAAUAUUGGUCAAUGGCCGAGAGGCUGAACCAGCCAAGUCGCGUGAGGGAUGAAGGUUCUAUGGAUCGUAAACCUCUUUUAUAAGGGAAUAAAGUGCGGGACGUGUCCCGUUUUGUAUGUACCUUAUGAAUAAGGAUCGGCUAACUCCGUGCCAGCAGCCGCGGUAAUACGGAGGAUCCGAGCGUUAUCCGGAUUUAUUGGGUUUAAAGGGUGCGUAGGCGGCCUUUUAAGUCAGCGGUGAAAGUCUGUGGCUCAACCAUAGAAUUGCCGUUGAAACUGGGGGGCUUGAGUAUGUUUGAGGCAGGCGGAAUGCGUGGUGUAGCGGUGAAAUGCAUAGAUAUCACGCAGAACCCCGAUUGCGAAGGCAGCCUGCCAAGCCGUUACUGACGCUGAUGCACGAAAGCGUGGGGAUCAAACAGGAUUAGAUACCCUGGUAGUCCACGCAGUAAACGAUGAUCACUAGCUGUUUGCGAUACACUGUAAGCGGCACAGCGAAAGCGUUAAGUGAUCCACCUGGGGAGUACGCCGGCAACGGUGAAACUCAAAGGAAUUGACGGGGGCCCGCACAAGCGGAGGAACAUGUGGUUUAAUUCGAUGAUACGCGAGGAACCUUACCCGGGUUUGAACGCAUUCGGACCGAGGUGGAAACACCUUUUCUAGCAAUAGCCGUUUGCGAGGUGCUGCAUGGUUGUCGUCAGCUCGUGCCGUGAGGUGUCGGCUUAAGUGCCAUAACGAGCGCAACCCUUGCCACUAGUUACUAACAGGUAAAGCUGAGGACUCUGGUGGGACUGCCAGCGUAAGCUGCGAGGAAGGCGGGGAUGACGUCAAAUCAGCACGGCCCUUACAUCCGGGGCGACACACGUGUUACAAUGGCGUGGACAAAGGGAAGCCACCUGGCGACAGGGAGCGAAUCCCCAAACCACGUCUCAGUUCGGAUCGGAGUCUGCAACCCGACUCCGUGAAGCUGGAUUCGCUAGUAAUCGCGCAUCAGCCAUGGCGCGGUGAAUACGUUCCCGGGCCUUGUACACACCGCCCGUCAAGCCAUGGGAGCCGGGGGUACCUGAAGUCCGUAACCGCGAGGAUCGGCCUAGGGUAAAACUGGUGACUG
rnacentral:rRNA from 1 species